ACGCUGGAGGGAGGGAGGCCACUUGCGGGCAGCGCCGACGGAAGGACUCGCGAAGGAAGACGAGAGAUCGAAACGGUACGUGUGUAACUAGUGGCAAGGUGGGUAAUUUUUGUGACCAAAAGCAUAUGAAAGUAGGGGUGGAGGUGCUGUAAAAUUUGUACUAUGCAAAAGCUACUUUUGGCUUUGGCUUUAGAUGAAAGCUAACCCCUUUGGUUGGCUUUUGGCUUUUGAGGAGCAAAAGCCACGACCAAAAGCCCAACUAAAGGACCUGGCGUCUUGUGCAAGUGCAAACCACGACACACAUUCAGAAAGAAAAAGACACAGGUAGUUGGUAAUCGACAAGAUAAAAAAAGCACAAAUUCAAUAGUUCCAGGCGUCAAGUCCUCCAAACUGAUGGUUCAGACUCCAGAGACCAGUACUCCAAACUUCAGUAGCAGCAAUCCAGGCCUCAUAUAGUCCAGGCUGUGUGAUAAAAAAUGAAGGAUCAAAUCUGGGCAGAGCACCAUAUUUGAAAAGCAUAUACAUUGGCAAAUUGCAAUUUCUAGAGACUGAUUCUAUGAUUUACGGAUCAAAUACUAAGAAAAAUAGGGGCAUAGGUGUUAGGGUUAGGGAAUAGGAAUACACAUUGCAGCCGUCCAUCAAUCUUCAGGUCGCCUGGCAAUGGAUUCCCUCGCCUGCGAGGUGACGCGCGGCGGCAGGAGAUGGCCUGAUGGGGGUCGGUGGCAGUGGCGUCGAGCUCCGAAGGCCGAGUCAUCGUCUCACCAAUGGACUGAGGGCGGCGUCGCGCUGCUGGCCGUCGCAGACUCGCGGCGCAGUGAGGUGAGACGGUGUGGCCGGUAGCGGGCUCAUGGCUCGGUUUUGAAGGAGAUGGCAGAUGGGGAGUCGGGGUCUCGGGGAGACAGGGAGACGUCGGGGACUCAAGAGUCAGGGAGAUGACGUCGAGUUACGAGAUGAGUUAAUGAGGAUCCUAAAGCCAAGGAGGCGGAGGUGGCUUAGCUUUGAGCCUUUGACUACGGCAACACAGAAUUAUGGGUAGUUCGGGUACCGGGCAUAGUUAUCCGAAUUACCCAAUAUAAAUUUGGGUAAUAGAAUUUGCUAUCCAAACAAGAUAUCGGGUAGUGCGGGUUCGGGUACUUCGGAUCCAGGUCCGGGUAUUUCGGGUUCGGGUAACGGGUAGCGAGUAAUAUGCCCAGAGUUAAUCACGGAGUUAAUAGGCUCAAAAGAUUCGUCUCGCAAAUUAUAAGCAGACUGUGCAAUUAAUUGUUUUCGUCUAUAUUUAAUGUUAUAUGCAUAUGUCCAAAGAUUCGAUGUGACGAGAAAUCUUGAAAAUUUCUGGAACUAAACCAAGCUUUAGAUUGAAAAACCUUGGGUCCAUUUGUCAAUGUUGGCAACAUUUAUGGGUGUCACUUUCCUCGGAGGUAAGGCCUUGUUUAGUUCCCAAAAACUUUUGUAAAAUUUUUUUGAUUCCCUGUCACAUCGAAUCUUGUGGUACAUGUAUGAAGCAUUAAAUAUAGAUAAAAGAAAUAACUAAUUACACAAUUUGCCUGUAAUUUACGAGAUGAAUUUUUUGAGCCUAGUUAGUUCAUGAUUGAACAAUAUUUGUCAAAUACAAACGAAAAUGUUACAGUGUUCAUUUUGCAAAAAAAAAAGAAAAAAAAAGAACUAAACAAGGUAGAGAUGAUGACCCCUCAUCUCCAAAGCUAUUUGCUUGUUUGUUACAGCUUUGAAGGGCGCCUAUUUGCCGGUGCUUUGGUGGCUUGUUGGCGAUGUAUUAUGUUGUGAUUGUUGUUGUUGCUCUCAUUGUGACGGUGGUGUUCCUUGUUUUGUUUUGUGAUACUAUUAAGUUGCUUCUUCUCUUUGCUUCUUCUCUGUUAAUACAUGUCCAAUAAAUUUCUUACUUGUAGCUUUUCAAAAAAAAAUGCUUACUUAGUGUGCGUUUGGUAGGGUUUAGAUUCUUCUAGAAACAUUUCGGAUCCAGAUUCUCUCUAAAAAUGUUUCUCUACAAAUGUAAAAGCACUUUAUAGAAGCCUUACAUAUUUAUUUAGACUGGUAAACAAACAAAAAUCAGCUUCAAGUGAUCCUCUCUGCAAGCGACUCUAGUGAUUCUAGUGAGAAUCUAAAACAUUUCUCGUUGCGAAACGCACCUAGUUCUACUUGUCCAUUGCCUACCAGUAAGUUUUCUUAGGUCUUGUUUAGUUCCAAAUUUUUUUUAGUUUUGGGUAUUGUAGCAUUUUUGUUUUUAUUUGACAAUUAUUAUCUAAUUAUGGACUAACUAGACUUAAAAAUUCAUCUCAUGAUUUACAGAUAAACUGUGUAAUUAGUUUUUGUUUUUAUCUAUAUUUAGUACUUCAUAUAUAUGCCGUAAGAUUCGAUGUGACAGGAAAUCUUAAAAAGUUUUUUUAUUUUUGGUGUGAACUAAACAAGACCUUAACAUAGGUCGAUUAUGCUCCAAUCUAACCCAUGAGCAACGGACAUGGUUUCUUAGUCUUUAGAUAGUUCGCAUUGGCACUAGUUUUACUUUUGUGCCAAAGUCUAAAGAAUAGGACAAACUCCCAUCCCUGCCUCCAUUUGGUAUAAUCUUACAUUGGUAUCAUGCGUAAGUGCACCAAGUGUAACACAUAUGUGAGUUUUAGAAAACAAACCUCACAUAUAGCUAAAAAAAGGGGUAAUAUCAAAGGACAACGCAUAAAUUAUAUAGCAUACAUAAUAAAUCAGAAACAACCUUAGGCAGCAAACCACGGAAGAUAACUCCAAACUUCGGGUGUUAACUUCACUCUACAGGAUCCAACUGACUGGUUGAUCACAAGCCCAAUACUUCUCCUGAGGUGUGGGGGAGAUAGCAAGAGUGAGUCCAAGACGAACUCCGCAAGUAUAGCAACUAGAUUGUAUAGAUCCCACGGUCUCAUGAUCAAUGUGACAUAAAUAAUAUAGAGCAUUAAACAAUAAACAAUGAGUUUCUUAAUACAACAAGAUUCAUCACCCUUAAUGUAAGAAUCCCAAGGCCGCUCGUGACCGUGAGCACGGCUAGUAUACCAGUUUGUUAAACACUCUGCGGAGGUCGUACAUCUUUACCCAUGAGUCAUGAUUUACCCUUUCGCCCAAGGUAGCUAACCUCUUAACCCCCUUCCAAGGGAGGCCGGCAGGGAUCACUAUGAAGUCUUUCAAAGGUUCGUCUAACAAAUUAGGGCCGCUUGGUUUCGGUAGUCAGUCCAUGUGAUUCUACCCCGCAGGGAAUCCACGGUCUGCUAUCCCCCAUUUGCGCCACACGGGUAACCUCUAACAAGCUAUAAAAGUUACUCAUACUUGACUAAAGCCAGAGCCAUCAUAGCCCUCAUGGUUGCACUUUUAUCCCGGUUAUCACUUACGAAU
rnacentral:lncRNA from 1 species